UAAAAACUUCCGAGCAGUCUCAAUGAUUACAACAAAUCUUAUAAAUAGGCAUGAGAGUCGGCCAAUGUAUUCUCAACAUUUCAUUAUCAUUUUUCAGCUGUUCAAGAAUUUAACGAUCACUCCGAAAAAAAUUUUAUUCCGCUUCAGUUUAUCCAUAGCCAUUCAACUAACUAGUGCAAAAUAAAAAAAUGAGUUUUGACAUCCAUGCCAUAUCCACUAGUAUACAGAUAAUUCAUCAAAAUUUAUCGAUAAUACAACGUCUGUUUGGAACGGAGCGAAAAUCAGAGCUAAACCAUUUGCGCAUAGAAACGGAAAAACUUUUCAAGGACACCGAAGGCCAGCUAGAUAGUUUGGUGCUUUCGAACGAUGAUCGCAUUCUAAAAAAACAAAAGAAUCGUUUGCUUGAUGAAUUUGUUGAGGCAAAAACUGACUUUCUGAAACUACGCCGCCGUAUAGAUGAUGAUUAAAUAAGCAUGCGCAUCGAUGGUGUGAACAUAAACACAUCUUAAGUUUAAAGAAAUGUCUUUGAAUUGAAUUGAAUUUAUUUCCACCGCCAAAGACGUAGAUACAAACAUAGUUAACUAAUACAAUAAAGCUUUACAAACAA